GUCAGAAGAUAUGUGUAUUGAUUUCAGCAUUUCUCAAGCAGCAUGAUAGAUCUGUUACCGUCAUCUUGCAAUUCUGUAAGCUCAUCUGGAUUUUACAUAAUAAAUGUUAUCACUAAAGAUUUUAAUUGCGCUAUGUUGUGCUUUUCUUACUACAUUUCAGACGGUAACAUGACUAAAUUUGGAGAUAUUUCAUUACCACGUUAUGUUAGUUGUGUGCACACUAAAC